rnacentral:rRNA from 1 species
UAGCCUUGCGGCCGUACUCCCCAGGCGGGGCACUUAAUGCGUUAGCUGCGGCACGGGAGGAGUGGAUACCCCCCACACCUAGUGCCCAUCGUUUACAGCGUGGACUACCAGGGUAUCUAAUCCUGUUUGCUCCCCACGCUUUCGCGUCUCAGCGUCAGUAUCGGUCCAGGAGGCCGCUUUCGCCACCGGUGUUCCUCCCAAUAUCUACGAAUUUCACCUCUACACUGGGAAUUCCGCCUCCCUCUCCCGUACUCAAGCCAGGCAGUUUCAGAUGCACUUCCCCGGUUAAGCCGAGGGCUUUCACAUCUGACUUACCAGGCCGCCUACACGCGCUUUACGCCCAGUAAUUCCGAACAACGCUUGCACCCUCCGUAUUACCGCGGCUGCUGGCACGGAGUUAGCCGGUGCUUCUUCCUACGGUACCGUCAGACUCCGCGGAUUAUCCCCGCGGAGCGUUCGUCCCGUCCGAAAGGGCUUUACGACCCGAAGGCCUUCUUCACCCACGCGGCGUUGCUGCGUCAGGGUUUCCCCCAUUGCGCAAUAUUCCUCA